GUUUACGGCCAUGCCGCCCUGAACGUGCCCGAUCCCGUCUGAUCUUGGACGGGCCUGGUUAGUACUCGGAUGGGAGACCACCCAGGAAGACCAGGUGCUGUAGGCG
rnacentral:rRNA from 1 species